GCGCAGACUGAACAAAAUUCAGUUUGUUGUGAUCAUACCUAUUUAUUUAGUCAUAUAUAAAUAUAUAAUACUAUGUUAUAGAAAUGCACAAGUGUAUAGUGUGCGGCAAUAAAUCUAAGUACACAAAGGUCAAUCGUCCAGGAGUUAUUUAUCAUGGAUUUCCAAAGAAUGCAUACAUGAGGAAAAAAUGGUUUAAAGUUUUUGGGAUUGAUCGUUGCCAUGAUUGGCAACGUAAAUGUAGUGAUCAUUUUUUAGAAGAAAACUAUAAGCCAGGAAAAAAGUGAUUUUUAUUUUCAAAUGCUAUUCCCCAACCUUAUCAUCGAAAUGGUUUUCCUUCUAAUUAUGCUACUCAAAGUAAUGAUGUUGAAACUGGAAAUAAUGUAAUUUUACCGAUGGAACAAAAUAUUAUACAUGAUUGCAUAGAAUCUGAAUUUUAAAAAGAGGAACAUAUUGAAAAUGCUAUUGAAAAUAAUUUUAAAUCAAGACGGUCAUCUACACUUACUAGAAAAAAUGAGGAUAUGAGUAAUAAAAA